rnacentral:rRNA from 1 species
GACGAACGCUGGCGGCGUGCUUAACACAUGCAAGUCGAACGGAAAGACCCUGCUUUUGUGGGGUGCUCGAGUGGCGAACGGGUGAGUAACACGUGAGUAACCUGCCCUUGACUUUGGGAUAACUUCAGGAAACUGGGGCUAAUACCGGAUAGGAGCUCCUGCUGCAUGGUGGGGGUUGGAAAGUUUCGGCGGUUGGGGAUGGACUCGCGGCUUAUCAGCUUGUUGGUGGGGUAGUGGCUUACCAAGGCUUUGACGGGUAGCCGGCCUGAGAGGGUGACCGGCCACAUUGGGACUGAGAUACGGGCCAGACUCCUACGGGAGGCAGCAGUGGAGAAUAUUGCACGAUGGGCGGAAGCCUGAUGCAGCGACGCCGCGUGCGGGAUGACGGCCUUCGGGUUGUAAACCGCUUUCGCCUGUGACGAAGCGUGAGUGACGGUAAUGGGUAAAGAAGCACCGGCUAACUACGUG